AUUGAACGCUGGCGGCAGGCCUAACACAUGCAAGUCGAGCGGAUGACGGGAGCUUGCUCCUUGAUUCAGCGGCGGACGGGUGAGUAAUGCCUAGGAAUCUGCCUGGUAGUGGGGGACAACGUUUCGAAAGGAACGCUAAUACCGAAGACGUCCUACGGGAGAAAGCAGGGGACUUUCGGGCCUCGCGCUAGCAGAGGAGCCUAGGUCGGAUUAGCUAGUUGGUGGGGUAAUGGCUCACCAAGGCGACGAUCCGUAACUGGUCUGAGAGCAUGAUCAGUCACACUGGAACUGAGACGCGGUCCAGACUCCUACGGGAGGCAGCAGUGGGGAAUAUUGGACAAUGGGCGAAAGCCUGAUCCAGCCAUGCCGCGUGUGUGAAGAAGGUCUUCGGAUUGUAAAGCACUUUAAGUUGGGAGGAAGGGCAGUAAGUUAAUACCUUGCUGUUUUGACGUUACCGACAGAAUAAGCACCGGCUAACUCUGUGCCAGCCGCCGCGGUAA
rnacentral:rRNA from 1 species